rnacentral:rRNA from 1 species
UGGGGAAUUUUGGACAAUGGGCGAAAGCCUGAUCCAGCAAUGCCGCGUGUGUGAAGAAGGCCUUCGGGUUGUAAAGCACUUUUGUCCGGAAAGAAAUCCUUGGCUCUAAUACAGUCGGGGGAUGACGGUACCGGAAGAAUAAGCACCGGCUAACUACGUGCCAGCAGCCGCGGUAAUACGUAGGGUGCAAGCGUUAAUCGGAAUUACUGGGCGUAAAGCGUGCGCAGGCGGUUUGCUAAGACCGAUGUGAAAUCCCCGGGCUCAACCUGGGAACUGCAUUGGUGACUGGCAGGCUAGAGUAUGGCAGAGGGGGGUAGAAUUCCACGUGUAGCAGUGAAAUGCGUAGAGAUGUGGAGGAAUACCAAUGGCGAAGGCAGCCCCCUGGGCCAAUACUGACGCUCAUGCACGAAAGCGUGGGGAGCAAACAGGAUUAGAUACCCUGGUAGUCCACGCCCUAAACGAUGUCAACUAGUUGUUGGGGAUUCAUUUCCUUAGUAACGUAGCUAACGCGUGAAGUUGA